rnacentral:RNase_P_RNA from 1 species
GGUAAGGGUGGAAAGGUGAGGUAAGAGCUCACCAGCAGUCUGGUAACAGGCUGGCUCGGUAAACCCCAUCCGGAGCAAGACCGAAUAGGGAAGGGUUAAGGGUGGUCCCGCCUACCUUCCGGGUUGUGUCGCUCGAGCGUGCAGGCGACUGUACGCCUAGAAAGAUAAUCGUCACCGCGCAAGUGGAACAGAACUCGGCUUAUUGAUUACUUGCUUCC